rnacentral:lncRNA from 10 species
GAUGGAUCACUUCAACUAAAUAAGUUAAAAUACAGGUAUAAAACUUCCACAAAGGCAGUAUAUCAAUGUUGUAUUAGACACAUUAUUUAAGUAACUGAAAUAAAAUGAAGGAAAAUGGAAGUUGAAAUAUUAUUGAGAUAAAAGUAGAACCUCUGCCAAACCAAUGGCCAUUCCCCUGGCAAAGAUUCAAUGAGUUGACUGUCAAUCCAAUUUUAUUAUUGUAGGAACAAUGGACUAUUUGAGAACUGUAUUCUAUUAAAUAACUUUGCUUUGUUAAAAUCCAAAGGCUUUUAAUUGGGCUGAUGUUAGUCAGACCCAGCAUCUUUCUAUCCAUCCUUCCAUCUGUCUAUCUUUUCAUCCUUUCAUCUCAGCAAUGGCAGACACUUCUAUUCUUCUAUUCACCCAUCAACCCAUCCAUUCUUUCAUUCAUCCACUUUAACACCCAACCACCUUCAAUUCAUCAUCCUCCUGUCCAUCCGGUCACCCAGCCAUUCAUCCUUCCUGCCCUUCUUCCAUCCAUUCACCCAAUAAUUCCUUUGUUCUUUCUCCCCAGCAAAAGUUAAUUGCCUGUUGAUAAUUAAAAGAUGUGAAUAAAUAACACUGGAAAUCAAGCAUGCACGUAAUUAUGUAAUUUCAGGCAAGUUAGAGAAUGUUCAACUACAUCAUUUACUAUGGUCCCGGUACUCAUCUAGUUUAUCAUGUUGUAGUUCCUAUCUAAAGAUAAUCAGCUAUAAUUACCAAGACUAAUUCAAUAAUAUUGCAUCUACCCAUUGCAUUACUUAUAUACAUUAUAGAAACUGCCAUUUUAGUUUCUGACAGUACAUUAAAUCCACCCCAUCUGUCCUGAUGAAAGUGUUUUAUUAUUAAUCUUAGAGAAGUUCUUCCCACUGCUGCAACAUUUAAGAAACACGUUUGUUUUCAUUAUUCAGUUUUGCGGACAGAAAUAAUUUUUCCCUUUUCUAUAGUGCUUUACAGUUUACAACUCUCUUUUUAUAGAUCCAUCAUCCUUGAUUCUCAAUUAAAAGCCAAAUUCAAUGUUUUGCAUAUGUUUUGCUGCAGUUCUCAUUUCAUCUCAGAUGAUGAUGAAGUGGAUGUUGUUCUCAUUAUUCCUGCCUCAGGAUGUGGUGGACCACCAUCUGCAGCUGCCGUGCUGGUCUCCAGAAAGUGGUGGUGUCAUUAUGGUCUCCUGCAAGAUUUGAAGGAGAGACCUAACACAUAAUCCAACACCCCUGCUCUUCUGAGUGAUUGACAGGAUACAAAUGGGCCUGAAGAGGCGAGCAUUCUUUUCACUGUGACCCCCUAAGUAUCUGCCACCAACUGAGAGAUGGCAGGCCCAGCAGCAGAUGCCAAGAUCCAGUGACUGUGGCCAGGUGAUGUAGCAUAGUAGACAAGAGUACUGAUUUGUUUAUGGCAAGUGAAGUUUACUUCCCAAAUUAGGUAGAUAGUGACAAUGUAACUUCUUCCUGAAAUGGUCAGUAUCUCCUAUCCUGGCCAAUUUACUAUCUAGAAAGAUCAGAGCUGGCCAGCAGGUAAAGGACUAAUCUUCUGGGCAGAGGCUGAUGAGUGGAAUGUUCUCAGCAAAACCAGUAGGAGGCAGCCAGUCCUAGGGGAUCCAGCUGAAAGCCUCAAGAGACAGCCUUCAUCAGAAGGCAGGACAAAAUGCCACAGGAGUUUGACCACAGACUACAAGAAGUCAGUUUUCUUCAAGGGACAAGGCAGCAGGGAUCUAGGACUAUAUCUCAGAGACAGGAGUCUCUUCCCCAGAAAACGUGAGAAACAAGUCAAAGUUGAGCAGCUAGCUGUGCCUGCUAAUCAACUCCUUCCAUGAGAAAUGAAAGUUCUCAUGGCUUCUCUCUCCUGCUAGCUCACAUGUUGUUGCAUAUUUUCUAGAAACAUAUGUUGCCCCUAUGAGAUUCACAUUUAUGUAGUGGUUUCCUCAUAAGAGUAAAAGAACACAAUUAUAAAAACAGCUCCCUCUGGUACUUUACUCAUGUACUCUGCCCCCACUCCCACAAAAAGCCAAGAUCAGAAGGAUUAAAUGGUUUCAAUUGCUCUGGAAAUGAUUACACUGACCAAAUUAUUUAAGUUUCACGAUCUAAGCUUCAAGACUUGCCCAGAACACAUACUCUGAUUGAUAUUAUACAACGAUUUAUUUUAUCAUGUGUUAAUUCAACAAUCCUUUAAUGGGCGUCUUUCCCAUGCUAAACAAUGUACCAGGACUUGAAAAGGAAGACAAACAUUGGGUGUACGAAAUGGGAGCAAAAAGUCUUCCCAACACUGGUCAUUUAGGGGUUGUACAGCAUUUGAAGAAACAAAGGCAAUUUUUAUGUGACAGGGGAACUCCCUCAGAGCCACAGGAAGACUGAUAAAAUAAAAAAAAUCUCUUUACUCUCUGUGGGCUACUAUAUAUAAAAGGUUGUCAGGCCAACUUUAUAAAACUCAAAGACCCACAAAAGCUGCAUUACAGAGUCAUGAAUUCAUUUUUGAAAAUGCUAAGAUGAACAGAUAAACCAGUGAAUUAUACGAAAGUCACUUACUGUUAUACAUAACAUUAUAAAGAGGAGAAUUUCUUUUCUAAAUCUUUGAAUGACUUGCAGAGUAUAGCCACCAGCCCUCUGCACGUGGAAUUGUGCUGCACCUUGAGAAUGUUUGUUCAAAUAGAGGCAGGACAAAAUGUGAACUUCACAGGUAGCCGUGAAAUGCUCUCCCUUUCCCAGCACACUAUCUGCUUCAUCCCCAGCUCUCACUUUUACUGGCUAGAGUGUUUAACAUUGUUCAAGAAAAAGUGCUCUCUUAUUUGUAAGACAUAAUGUACUACUGACCGAAUGGUCCUGCUUUUUAAAGACAAAGUACUUGUCUGUUUGAACAUGUUUAGUUUUGGAUGCAUGCCAUUCAAUAUUCAGCUUGGAGUUAAUAAGUGUUGGGGCACAGUGUCCGUGACUGAACAUUUACAUAAUGGAUAUUAUGUCCUUUUGGCUCAGUAAUCAUCUAAUAACUUAAUAUUAAAUAAUGAUUUCCAGGCUGCUGAGCACAUGGUGAGUAUCCAUCCUUCAUAUUCAGGGCUUAAUAUUCUCCUAGCUUUUUUCCACGCUUGAGACCCAAUAAUAUGCCUCAUGGGACAAUAAAACAUCAGGAUUGACAUAGUGCAUUGAAGAGACAAAUGUUCACGGAGUAAUUGUGCAGCUCUUGUACACUGAUAGAAGAAGAAUCUUGCCUUCUUAUUAUGGCUUCUUCUAAACUAUCAAAACAUUACCCAAAAAAGCCCCUCUUCCUGCUGUUAUGUCUUAUAUUAUUAUUGGUCCCGUCAGAGGGUGACAUUCUUGUGAGACUAAUAAUAAUAACUAUUUUUAAUAGUUAAUGACUAGUCCACAUUUGUAAAAUAAAUUGUCUUUAAGAGGACAUUGUUACAGUUGUAGAAAGUGGUUGACCCAAUAGCCAAUGUUUAUAAAACAUCUUGAAAAUGAAGGCCACCACACAGGCAAUAAUCCAAAGGAUGUUGGUAUUCUUUUUCCAGCUUGUGAACAUUGCACAUAGGAGUUUAGAGUCAAAAUUCUUCCAGGAUACCUUUCCUACCGACUUGUCAUUGGUCUAGUACCACUAUAUAUGUAGGAGGUAAGUAGAGGCCAUGGAAUAUGUUGGGGAAGAAGAAAAAUGAAGGGCCAAAUAAAUUAAAAAUGGGGAUAUAUGUGCUGUAGAUAAACCUUCCCUAACAAUUUUGCCAGGGCACACCUUAUAUUUUAAUUUUCUUUCAUAAUUUAUUUUUGUUAACAUAAAAAUAGAGUCAUCUUCCAGAUUAAGGGAAGGUUGGAAGGAAAAAUAUAUCACUUUAUAAUCAAAAGGUCUCAGAGUCACUAUCUUAACCCAGUGAUUAGUCUUUGUAUGACUGAUGGUGAGACAUGAGAUGGUGUCUGCAUCUUGUGGUGAUGCAACGUGAAGGUCACUGCUCUAAAGUAAAGCUUGAUCUAACUUUAAGUUUAUGAGAAAUACAUGGGAUAGAAGAACAAAUUAAAUGAGAUCAUGAAGAAAUGGUAAGGCAAAUCCAGGAGGUGGGACAUCCUACAGGAUAAGUGGCUUUGUUAAUUCAACAAAUCAUUUUUAAAAGUAGGGAGGGAGGUGGAGCAUGGACUCUCAGAUUAAGGAACUUCAGAAACAUACAACCAGAUGGAAUAAAAUAAAAUGUGUAUUACUUUAGCAAAUCCUGGUUUAAAUAAGUCAGUUGUAAAAAUAUAUUUUUUGGAUAAGUAGGGGAAAUUUGAGUGUAUAUGGGAUCUUAGAUGUUAAAAGGAAAUAAUUGUAAAUUUGUUAGAUGUCAUAGUGUUAUGAUUCUGUAGGAAAAUAGUCUUACUUUUAAAGAAAUGUAUACUAAACAGUUUAGAUUGAAAUGUCUUGACAUAUGUAGUUUACUUUAUUUGUUGUAUCAUUUUAUUUUAAAAUUAGCAGAUAAAAUUGUAAGUAUUUAUCAUGUAAAAAAAGAUGGUUUGAAGCAUAUAUACAUUGUGGAAUGACUAAAUCUAGCAAAUUAACAUAUGCAUUACCUCAGGUAGUUAUUAUUUUUGUGGUGAGAACACUUGGCAUCCACUCUCUUAGCAUUCUUUAAGAAUCAAUACACUAACCAUAGUCACCAUGUUGUACAAUAGAUCUCCUGAACCUGUUUCUCAUAUCUUACUGAAAUUUUGUAUCCUUUGACCAACAUCAGCCACAUCCUUUGACCUCAACUGUCCCAGCCUCUGAUAUCUACCAUUCUAUUGUCUGCUUCUAUGAGAUCAACUUUUAAAGAUUUUACAUAUGAGUGAAAUCAGGCAGUAUUUGUCUUUCUGUACCUGGCUUGUUUCAGUUAACAUCCUCCAAGUUCGUUCACAUUGUCAUGAAUAACAGCAUUUCUUCCUUUUUAUGGCUGAAUGGUAUUCCAUUGUGUAUAUAUACCACAUUUUCUUUAUUUAUUUGUCCACUGAUGAACACUUAGGUUGAUCUUGGCUAUUGUGAACAAUACUUCAAUAAACAUGAGAGUACAG